GGCGGUACCACUGCAAGGCCCAGAACGCCCUGGGCACCGGGGUGUCACCUCCUGUCACCCUCCGCGUGUUCUCCGCAGAGAUCUCAGCCAGCCCUGCGGCCGAGGUGCUCGAGGGGACGGCCACCACCUUGUCAUGCAAUGUCCCCGGGCGGGAGGGACACCCCGAGGAGCUGACCUACACCUGGUUCAAGAACAGCGCGUGGCUCAAGGAGGGUCCGGCCCACACCCUCCUCUUCCCCACGGUGGCCGCUGGUGACGCCGGCUACUACUCCUGCCAAGUGACCAACAGCCAGGGCAGUGACACGGCCCAGGCCAUCAGCCUCAGCGUGACGUAUCCACCCCGAAUUCCCACCCUCACGCUCUUCCAGGAGACCCAGGGUGGCCGGCUGGUCAUCGUCCGCUGCACCGUGGACAGCCACC